rnacentral:rRNA from 1 species
UGAACGCUAGCUACAGGCUUAACACAUGCAAGUCGAGGGGCAGCAUAUCGAAAGACUUGCUUUGAUGAUGGCGACCGGCGCACGGGUGAGUAACGCGUAUCCAACCUUCCCUAUACUAGAGGAUAGCCCGGCGAAAGUCGGAUUAAUACUCUAUGUUCUUCGUAGAAGACAUCUGAAAUGAAGCAAAGGUUUACCGGUAUAGGAUGGGGAUGCGUCUGAUUAGGUUGUUGGCGGGUAACGGCCCACCAAGCCCACGAUCAGUAGGGGUUCUGAGAGGAAGGUCCCCCACAUUGGAACUGAGACACGGUCCAAACUCCUACGGGAGGCAGCAGUGAGGAAUAUUGGUCAAUGGACGAGAGUCUGAACCAGCCAAGUAGCGUGCAGGAUGACGGCCCUAUGGGUUGUAAACUGCUUUUAUACAGGGAUAAAGUGCACUACGUGUAGUGUUUUGUAGGUACUGUAUGAAUAAGGACCGGCUAAUUCCGUGCCAGCAGCCGC